rnacentral:rRNA from 1 species
UCAUGGGCGAGAGCCUGAACCAGCCAAGUAGCGUGAAGGAUGAAGGCUCUNCCGGUCGUAAACUUCUUUUAUAUGGGAAUAAAGUAUUCCACGUGUGGAAUUUUGUAUGUACCAUAUGAAUAAGGAUCGGCUAACUCCGUGCCAGCAGCCGCGGUAAUACGGAGGAUCCGAGCGUUAUCCGGAUUUAUUGGGUUUAAAGGGAGCGUAGAUGGAUGUUUAAGUCAGUUGUGAAAGUUUGCGGCUCAACCGUAAAAUUGCAGUUGAUACUGGGUGUCUUGAGUACAGUAGAGGCAGGCGGAAUUCGUGGUGUAGCGGUGAAAUGCUUAGAUAUCACGAAGAACUCCGAUUGCGAAGGCAGCUCACUAGACUGUUACUGACACUGAUGCUCGAAAGUGUGGGUAUCAAACAGGAUUAGAUACCCUGGUAGUCCAAGGGCGAAUUC